AUUGAACGCUGGCGGCAUGCCUUACACAUGCAAGUCGAACGGCAGCACGGGAGCAAUCCUGGUGGCGAGUGGCGAACGGGUGAGUAAUAUAUCGGAACGUGCCCAGUCGUGGGGAUAACGUAGCGAAAGCUACGCUAAUACCGCAUACGAUCUAUGGAUGAAAGCGGGGGAUCGCAAGACCUCGCGCGAUUGGAGCGGCCGAUAUCAGAUUAGGUAGUUGGUGAGGUAAAGGCGUCACCAAGCCGACGAUCUGUAGCUGGUCUGAGAGGACGACCAGCCACACUGGGACUGAGACACGGCCCAGACUCCUACGGAGGCAG
rnacentral:rRNA from 1 species